rnacentral:rRNA from 1 species
GUUUAUUGAACCUCUGUUGCUUCGGCGGACCCGCCUUACGGCCGCCGGAGGGUUGUCACCAAUCCUCUGGCCAGCGUCCGCCGACGGCCAACCUUUUAAAACUCUGUAUGAAUCGUGUCAUGAUGUCUAAGUACAAUUGCAAAAUUAAAAGCAAAACUUUCAACAACGGAUCUCUUGGUUCUGGCAUCGAUGAAGAACGCAGCGAAAUGCGAUAAGUAAUGCGAAUUGCAGAAUUCCAGUGAGUCAUCGAAUCUUUGAACGCACAUUGCGCCCUUUGGUAUUCCGAAGGGCAUGCCUGUUCGAGCGUCAUUAUCACCCCUCAAGCCCCGUGCUUGGUGUUGGACGGCCGGUCGCCUCACCGCGACCCCUCCGAAAGACAAUGACGGCGGCCUGUGGUUCCCCCGGUACACUGAGCUUUUCACGGAGCACGUACCGGACGUGGGCGCCCGGGACCCGGUCUUCUCCUUUAGCUAGGAAACUUCUUAUGGUUGACCU